rnacentral:tRNA from 1 species
CGGCGAUGUCGCACAGCGGGUAGGCGGCGUUCACGACGACGCCGAGUGUGGUGGAGUGCGGGGCCGGUUCGACGGCGGCCAGCACCGGC